GCAUUGUUUGAGGUAUAUUUACAAGGCCAGUCUCUUGCUUGUUUAGAAUCCCAAGAUAGGAUUGCUAAUGCUGAAAAUGAUGGUGAAAUAAGGGAUGAGUUAGAUUUGGAGUUUGAUUCCUAUAAUAGCCAACAUGAGGCAUCUAUUUCCAAGUCCCAAUUAGGUAUUUACUUGGAGGAGAAAUUACUUCCAAGAGAUAAGAAAUUUAAUAUUCUUGAUUUUUGGAAAGGAAAUAUGCUGAGAUGUCCUGAACUUUCCUUAUUAGCAAGAGACAUUUUGAGCAUUCCCAUUACAACGGUUGCAUCUGAAUCUGCAUUCAGUCAUGGAGGUCGAAUCCUUGGAAAGUUUCGAAAUGCACUUUUGCCAAGCAAUGUUGAAGCAUUGCUAUGUUCUCGAGACUGGAUUUAUGGUGGCGAAGGUUAUGAUGCUUCUGAGGUAGAAGAGGACGCAGAAAUGAGUGUUGAUGUCCAAAGAUUGGUGGCUAAACUUGGUAGUGGAGUAUAAGGAAUCCAAAUCUUUGGUGGAUACCAAAGUGAAUGGCAACAAUCCGU